CCUACGGGUGGCAGCAGUAGGGAAUAUUGCUCAAUGGGGGAAACCCUGAAGCAGCAACGUCGCGUGGAGGAUGAAGGUUUUCGGAUUGUAAACUUCCUUUUAUAGAGAAGAUAAUGACGGUACCUAAUGAAUAAGCACUGGCUAACUUCGAGCCAGCAGCCGUGGUAAUAUGGAGGUUGCAAGCGUUACUCGGAUUCACCGGGCGUAAAGAGGGCGUAGGUGGGAUAGCAAGUCAGAUGUGAAAUCCUAUGGCUUAACCAUAGAAUUGCCGUUGAAACUGUUAUUCUUGAGUAUAGGUGAGGUAGGUGGAAUGCUUGGUGUAGGGGUAAAAUGCAUAGAUAUCAAGAAGAAGACUGAUUGCGAAGGCGGCCUACUAGAACAUAACUGACACUGAUGCGCGAAAGCGUGGGGAGCAAACAGGAUUAGAUACCCGAGUAGUC
rnacentral:rRNA from 1 species